UGCCCAAUAGCUAGCCCACCCAUCAACCCCAAAUUUACCUUAUUUAUAUCCCCAAACACACCACCACCCAACAAACAAACCAUUUUUCCACCUAAGUACGGGCGACGAAAAAGGAUUUAGGAGCAACAGAGAAAGUACCGCAAGGGAAAGCUGAAAGAGUAAUGAAACAACCCAGUAAAGCACUAAAAAGCAGAGAACACCUCUCGUACCUUUUGCAUCAUGAUUUAGCCAGUAAAUCUUAAGCAAAAAGCAUUAUAGUUUAAUUCCCCGAAACUAAGCGAGCUACUCCAAGGCAGUCUAAUUUAUAGGACCACCCCGUCUCUGUGGCAAAAGAGUGGGAUGAACUUUGAGUAGAGGUGAUAGACCUACCGAGCCUAGUUAUAGCUGGUUGCCCGAAAACUGAAUAGAAGUUCAGCCCUUUAAAUUCUCCCUCCCUGCUGGUUCAAGACCUUAACACCGGACAAAAGAAAUUAAAGGAGUUAGUCAAAGGGGGUACAGCCCCUUUGAAACAAGACACAACUUUCCAAGGAGGAUAAAGAUCACAACAAACUUAAAGGUAAAUGUCUUAGUGGGCCUAAAAGCAGCCAUCUAUUCAGAAAGCGUUAAAGCUCGAGCAUACACAACCAACCUACUAAUAUAGACAGCACAAUCUCACCCCCCUUAAACCUAUCAGGCCGUUCCAUAAAAAUAUGGAAGCGUUUAUGCUAAAAUGAGUAAUAAGAGAAUCCCUUUCUCUCCCCGCACAAGUGUAAAUCGGAACGAACCAUUCACCGACCAUUAACGGCCCCAAGACAGAGAGGGCACUAGGCAAAAAACAAACAACUAGAAAACCACCCAGCCCCCUACCGUUACCCCCACACUGGUGUGCCAACCGGGAAAGACUAAAAGAAAAAGAAGGAACUCGGCAAACACAAGCCUCGCCUGUUUACCAAAAACAUCGCCUCUUGAAACCUAAAAUAUAAGAGGUCCCGCCUGCCCUGUGACUAUAA
rnacentral:rRNA from 1 species